AUGGCGGCGGCCACGUGGGAUAAGGAAAGUAAGUGUCGGCUGUCGCGUGGUCACUGCCACCACCGACGCCACCAGUCCCUCCCGGUAGGCCUCACACUCAGAUACAGCGCGCCGGCCUCCCACCAACCGAAAUGUUUCACCUCCAAGCACGGGACCCGCCCGUCCCAGAGAAAGCCAAGCCUACGUGUCAGUGGCCAUUACUCUCCCCACUCGCUAUUCCCCGGUCACGGCCGGCGCGGCGCGUGUGUGGCGAGGAGCCGCCGUUUCGCAGGACAUAUGCAACUUACCUGGAAAUUAAAACGUAAAAAACCCGGACGAACAGCGAGCUCGGAGGAGCACAAAAAACAGGGACGGGGCUGCGCCGGAAGACGAUUGAUAAAGAACGGAGUCUACCUCUGACACCUAGGCUGGAGUGCAGUGGCAUGAUCUCGGCUCACUGCAACCUCCGCCUCCCAGGUUCAAGCGAUUCUCCUGCCUCAGCCUCCUGAGUAGCUGGGAUUACAGACGCCUGCCACCACGCCCAGCUGAUUUUUGUAUUUUUAGUAGAGA
ensembl:lncRNA novel transcript, antisense to RBM3